rnacentral:snRNA from 1 species
AGAUGUGAGGGAAAUGUGGCUGAAACAUCUGUCACCCCAUUGAUCGACAGGAUUGAUUCAGCUGAUCUGGCUGCUGGGCGGGUGUCCUGUCCUCCCUUACCGCUCCAUGUGUGUCCCUCCCAAAGCUGCGUGCUCAAAGAGGACAACCUUCCCAAUAGACGAGGACUGUUCUUUGGUCAAGGGUAUACGAAUAGCUGUGCUUCCCUGCUAGAGCCUUCAAACAAGCUCUCAAGGUCCAUUUGCAGGAGAAUGUAGGGUAGUCAAGCUCCCAAGAUCCAGACACAUCCAAAUGAGGCGCUGCAUGUGGCAGUCUGCCUUUCCUU